rnacentral:rRNA from 1 species
AUACGUAGGUGACAAGCGUUAUCCGGAUUUACUGGGCGUAAAGGGCGUGUAGGCGGUCUUGCAAGUCAGAAGUGAAAUUCCUGAGCUCAACUCGGGCGCUGCUUCUGAAACUGCAGGACUUGAGUGCUGGAGGGGAUAGCGGAAUUCCUAGUGGAGCGGUAAAAUGCGCAGAUAUUAGGAAGAACACCGGUGGCGAAGGCGGCUAUCUGGACAGUAACUGACGCUGAGGCGCGAAAGCGUGGGGAGCAAACAGGAUUAGAUACCCUGGUAGUCCACGCCGUAAACGAAGAAUGCUAGGUGUAGGGGGUAUCGACCCCUUCUGUGCCGCAGUCAACACAAUAAGCAUUCCGCCUGGGGAGUACGGCCGCAAGGUUGAAACUCAAAUGAAUUGACGGGG